CCUACGGGGGGCAGCAGUGAGGAAUAUUGGUCAAUGGUCGGGAGACUGAACCAGCCAAGCCGCGUGAGGGAGGAAGGUACAGAGUAUCGUAAACCUCUUUUGUCAGGGAACAAAGGCGGGGACGUGUCCCCGGAUGAGUGUACCUGAAGAAAAAGCAUCGGCUAACUCCGUGCCAGCAGCCGCGGUAAUACGGAGGAUGCGAGCGUUAUCCGGAUUUAUUGGGUUUAAAGGGUGCGCAGGCGGUCUGUUAAGUCAGCGGUCAAAGCCCGGGGCUCAACCCCGGCCCGCCGUUGAUACUGGCAGUCGCGAGUUGGAGAGAAGUAUGCGGAAUGCGCGGUGGAGCGGUGAAAUGCAUAGAUAUCGCGCAGAACUCCGAUUGCGAAGGCAGCAUGCCGGGUCCACACUGACGCUGAGGCACGAAAGCGUGGGUAUCGAACAGGAUUAGAUACCCCUGUAGUC
rnacentral:rRNA from 1 species